AUACUUAUCUGGACGGGAUUAAUGGGCGAUCAAGAAGGCCCAUGGCCUAAGUUGGUCGCCUCUAUUGCACUUUAGAGGGGAGUUCGCCUAAUCUCGACCCAAGUAGUCAAGCCUACGCUAUAAUUUGCAAUAGUGUAGUCAAGCGUUCGCGAGCCCCUAAC
rnacentral:snRNA from 1 species